UACAGAGGGGGCAAGCGUUGUUCGGAAUUACUGGGCGUAAAGGGCGCGUAGGCGGCCUUCUAAGUCGAACGUGAAAUCCCCGGGCUCAACCCCGGGAACUGCGUCCGAUACUGGAAGGCUUGAAUCCGGGAGAGGGAUGCGGAAUUCCAGGUGUAGCGGUGAAAUGCGUAGAUAUCUGGAGGAACACCGGUGGCGAAGGCGGCAUCCUGGACCGGUAUUGACGCUGAGGCGCGAAAGCCAGGGAGCAAAGCGGG
rnacentral:rRNA from 1 species